rnacentral:pre_miRNA from 1 species
AUUUGAUUGUUGCUCAGAAAGCCGUGAAUUGAACGUCGACUUUCGGGCAUCAAUCAAAACG